GAAGAUUUCUUGAUACUUCUGUUCGGUGAUACAGCCGUACGUGUUACUGUUACAGGUUGAAUCGAAAUUGGACAGGGAAACGGUAAUUCCGUUCUCUGUUGCUGCCUUUGACUCUCCUUUGGUUUGGAACGUUCAUUUCAGAAAGUUAAUCAGCUGAGAGGACACCUGUUCGACCCGGAGCAGCGUACUCGCAUACGUCUUCCCUGGUAUAUUAGACGGUGAUUUUAACAAAGGUCCGAUUACGUUAUCGUUAGAUUGGCUCGGCUUGACGAGUUUCACGUGCCGUUUCGAACGAUUCGUUUCACUAUGGCAUUUCGUGAAGAUCGUCUUUGUUACCGGCAGCAGCACAUUCUCUGUAACUACAUGAAUAUUCGAAAUCAUCGGCGAAGUCUUUGAUUUGGAGGAAGAAGGAGAAAGGAAAGAGGAAGUGGAGGGUUAGAAGGGAGGGGGAUAAGGAUGCGUAAACGGUGGUAAGGGUUACGCGAUUUCCUUAACAGAAAUUAGUCGAUUCUACAAGAUAUCGACUAUAUUCUAACUGAACAUGCUAACAGAACAAAAUGAACUGAACAUUCGUCGAAUAAUGUUCAACCUUUCUUCACCUCGUCACCAAGGAUAUUCUUUAUUUGUAAAAAAUAUAAUAAUAUAAUGAUGACACGUUA